rnacentral:rRNA from 1 species
UACGAAGGGGGCUAGCGUUGUUCGGAAUCACUGGGCGUAAAGGGCGCGUAGGCGGCUUUAUAAGUCGGGGGUGAAAGCCUGUGGCUCAACCACAGAAUUGCCUUCGAUACUGUAGAGCUUGAGUCCGGGAGAGGUGAGUGGAACUGCGAGUGUAGAGGUGAAAUUCGUAGAUAUUCGCAAGAACACCAGUGGCGAAGGCGGCUCACUGGCCCGGUACUGACGCUGAGGUGCGAAAGCGUGGGGAGCAAACAGG